UACGGAGGGUGCAAGCGUUGUCCGGAUUUAUUGGGUUUAAAGGGUGCGUAGGCGGCUAUUUAAGUCAGUGGUGAAAUCCUGCAGCUUAACUGUAGAACAGCCAUUGAUACUGGAUAGCUUGAGUACAGACGAGGUAGGCGGAAUUUAUGGUGUAGCGGUGAAAUGCAUAGAUACCAUAAAGAACCCCUAUUGCGAAGGCAGCUUACUAGGCUGUAACUGACGCUGAGGCACGAAAGCGUGGGGAUCAAACAGG
rnacentral:rRNA from 1 species